GAUGAAGAACGUAGCGAAAUGCGAUACUUGGUGUGAAUUGCAGAAUCCCGUGAACCAUCGAGUCUUUGAACGCAAGUUGCGCCCGAAGCCACUAGGCCGAGGGCACGCCUGCCUGGGCGUCACACGCCGUUGCCCCCCCAUCUACUCCUUCGGGAUUGCGGGGGGGCGGAUGAUGGCCUCCCGUGCGCCUAGCCGCGCGGUUGGCAUAAAUACCAAGUCCUCGGCGACGCACGCCACGACAAUCGGUGGUUGCGAAACCUCGGUUGCCCGUCGUGUGCGUUCGUCGCGCAUCGAGGGCUCGAAAAAAUGCUCGGCUCCGGCUGGGCUUUCAACGCGACCCCAGGUCAGGCGGGGUUACCCGCUGAAUUUAAGCAUAUCAAUAGCGGAGA
rnacentral:misc_RNA from 1 species